ensembl:lncRNA
GCAAAUGUUCCUGUGCAGGAGCUACAUGCUUUAGCUUCCUAUACUGCAUAUGCAGUGUAGUCCCUGUAGUGAAACUGCAUAGAGAAGUAGAACGGUGGUUUUAUGUAUUAUUUAGUAAGCUUGAUUAACUUACUAUUUAAACUUGCAAUACCUUAGGGCAAUGAGGCACAGGAGAGUAGAUUUUUUUUUUUUUUUGACAUAUCAAAUGUUUUAUAAACAUUUUGCUGCAAAUGUUAGCACAAGAGCCCUUUUAAAUAGGGACAAGAUGGUUAGUCUUCCAUUAUCUAUGCGAAUAGCACUCCUUUGUUGUGCAUAGAGAAUUCUGAUUUCAUGGAAUUCUCCUCCCUUGCAUUUCACGUCAAGGCAAGCCUCCCACAUCUGAGAAGAGUAUAUGCCCUAGAGUGCAGCUGCAUGAUGAUACACUCC